CUCUAUCCCCAGCAGAAGCAGCGGAGAAGACAAGGCCGGGAGGCACCGGGCUAGGCUGCGCACCAGGCCCAGGCCUGUCCCUCGGGACCGCGCGUGCCGCCUGAAUCCGCUCCCCCGUCGGGCCCGGUCCAGCUGGCGCGGCGGCCACCCUCACCUGGAUGACCUCGUUGACCUCCCGGAUACAUUCCACCAUGUGUUGUAGAAUCUGCUCGGCCGUGAGCACCUCGUAGCGGUAAUCCUCCUCCUGCUCGUGCCCCGGCCCGCCACCACCGCCGCCGCCGCCGCCGCCGCCGCCACCGCCGGGCCCCAGAGCGCUGCCGCCGCCACCGCCCGUCUCCCCGCACAGCAGUCCGUCCCGCUCCCCGCCGACGCCCAGCCCGGGCUCCACCAGCUCCACCUCGCCCAGAUCCAGGGUAUCAUCGUCCGGCUCGUCGUCGUCUUCGUCCUCCUCCUCCUCGGCGCCGCUGUCCUCCUCACUGCACUCCUCGUCCUCGUCGAACUCGUAGUUGUAGCCCUCGUCCGAGUCCAUGGCGCGACGCGCGGGGGCCCGGCGGACGCUGGCCGAGGCGGGGAGAGGGCGGGGACGCCGAGGCCCCGGCUCUCGCUCCGGCUCCGGCUGAUGUCCGGACGCAGGCCUGGCUCCGGCCCCGCGGGCCGCGGCUCCUCCCCAGGAGCGGCGGUUGGCGUUUGACGGCUGGUGGCGGCGGGGAGGGCGCGGAGGAGGGAGGGAGGGAGCGAGGGUGCCGCUUGCUGCCCGCCUCAGUCAGACGCGGCUCCGCUCCGGCCUCCGAGAGAAAACAGUCCCCAGCGCCACCUCCACGGCCGCUGCUAUCGCUACUGAGCCAACAAAGGGGCGUGCGUCACCGCGUCGCGCUGCGUCGUCGCGUCACUCCUCUUUGCGUCACUGCGCCCCGCCCCGCCGCCCCUGCGUGGAGCCCGGGGAGACCCCACGGCCCGGCCUUCCUGGGCCUGGGACCCGAGCGGAGCCGAGCGGGAAUUGCUUUCCCGGUUUGGUCCGCGGCCGCUGUGAGGGCCGAGCGGAAACCCGUAGACCUUUUAUGUGAAAAGAUUGCGGCCUCCUGGUCACCAGUCACCGAGAGAGGGACCCCUGGACCGCCUAGGUGGUGGUGUCUGCCGCAGGCCAUAGGGAUCCAGCCCACUCAGGCAGUCCCGUGGGGACGCGGCCUUCCCACCCGGGCGGAAAGGCGCUUCCCGCCCGCCCUGCGGUAAUCCCGGAAGCCCUCAGCUGUUAAGCUAAAAUUUCUGUUGCUUUGGCUACUGAUGGAAACCUGUUAUAAGUGGAACCUCUAAAUUGUAUGACAGGCGAACCCACUUUAGGUAGCUGUGUGAUUCUGUCCACUUGUACAGACGUGCAGUGGUUUUUAAGUCUCCUAUAAUGACGUCAUUUUAAAGAGGCAUUUCCUCCACCCAGCUGACAAGAGCGCCUCUUGAGGGCCCUAAACAAUGUAAACAGCGAUGGUUUUCAUGAAUUGAACACUGUGUAAGGGCUUUACAUGUUUUCUGUCUCAUCUUCAUGGAGCCAUAGUACCCAUUUUAUACCUGAGGAACCUGAAGCUCAGAAAGGAAAAGGGACAUGGCCAAGACCACAUAACCCUUGCCCUAUUUUAACCGCUGGAUGCCCCAAAACAUGAAUCAUAAAAAUGCUUUGUAAUGUAUAUGUAUUAUAUACUAUAUAGUACAUAAAAGACAUGAAUGCUUCAACAAAAUACAGGCAAUAAUAGAAAUAUCUACAAGGGCCAAAUGUAGCCAGAGAGAGAAUGCUUGAAUCUCAUCUGAAAGUGUGCUAUGUGAGCUGAGUGUUGAUGAAUGGCUAGGAGUUCAACAGAGAAGGUAGAGAAGAUGGUCUGGCCGCAGAGAACAAGCAAAAGCGCAGAAGGUGUCAAGUAAUUAAUAGUUUGGGGAGCUUAAGGUGCAUGGAGGAUACAUGACAAAAUAGGAAAGUUAGUCGGGGGUCAUGUCAGUUAAGAGCAUUUUAUGCCUAAGAGUGGGCUUAAGUCUUUGUAAAUAGGACAUGCGAGCCAGAGAAGUGUUAUGAAGGAAGAAGAGGCGUAAGAAGGCUCCCUCUUGAGAUAAUCUGAAGAAGUGGCCAGAUUGAAAACCUUCUAAAAUCUAAAUCCCUGAUUUGUUGAUAAAUCUUACUGUUCAACCUAUAGUUUCCCUUUGGAAAUUGAUUUUGAAAAGUGAAAAAUUCCAUUAUAAUGUUAAAAAGCCUCUACCAAUUUGUCCAUUUUGUGAGUUUUAAAAUACUGAUAAUUAUAUUUCUUAACCUCAAGAUUUACAAAGUAAAGCAUUUAACCUCAA
rnacentral:lncRNA from 1 species